CCAGGGGGCAAUUGCUUAGAAUAAAGGGGAAGCCAUUUAAGACUGUGGUGAGAAAAAACAUUUUCACCCAGAGUUGUGAAUUUGUGGAAUUCCUUGCCACAGAGGGCAGUGGAGGCCAAGUCACUGGAUGGAUUUAAGAGAGGGUUAGAUGGAGCUCUAGGUGCUAGUGGAAUCAAGGGAUGUGGGGAGAAGGCAGGCACAGGUUAUUGAGUGGGGAUGAUCAGCCAUGAUCACAACGAAUUGCAGUGCUGGCUCGAAGGGUUGUGAAAGUGUUAGUUAUUAAUUGAUUGUUGUCAUAUUUAAGCUUUCCUGUCGUAAAACGCCAAUUGUAAUGCAUGAUGGGAUUUGGACAACUUCCAUCGUGACAAGGGUUUUUUUAACUUAAGGUGAAUAGCUCUCUUGUAAGGUUUUUUUAUGUAAGUUGAAGAGGUUAAUCAGAUAAGUAGGGGCUCAGAGGAUGCCAUUGGGGUGACUGGCUUUCGGCAAAGAGUGAAAAACAACUCCAUAUUUGGAGGUGGAUGAUGGUUUUUGUACAUUACAUCAUGCAAUUGGUUUUAUAUCUGUACGUAUAUAAACUUGGGUGUUCUGGUAUUUCUUUGUGUGUGCUGCUGGAGAUUCAGACGUGAAACUGGGUUGCCUCUGGGUCUCUAAGUCCACACCCAUCAAAUGUUAAAUUAAAGCUUUGUAUGGUCUUAAGAAUUUGUACUUUGUCUAUCUUUUAAGUGAACUUUUUCAUUGGCCUGGUCGCGCAGGACUCACUGGAACUACCACUGGAUGACUGAGCAGAGGUUACCAGGACUGGAAAGGGAGGAAUAUGAGCUCCAUCGGUCCAUUGUAACCGACUCCUAGACACUCCUGGAAACAUCUCUGUUUCCUCAUCAGAAGUCGGUCUGUUCCCAGCUGAGGUUCUUAGAGAUAGACAAAGGGAACGAAAAAUUGUUCAAACUUUUGUUUGUUUGAAUGACAAUAAAAGGAAUUCAGCAGAGAUUCUAUAUGACCAUCCACUAGGGACAACAUGGAACCAGAAUACUCCGAAGGCUGUUCACUUUCAUCACAUGACAAUGGAAAUGACUAAUUAUAUUUUAUCGUUAACCAGGGCAUUGAAAGAUGUACAAUAGAACCACUAUGUCUAAAAUUGAACCUGGUACUUGUGUAUUGAUCAGGAAUUGGAUGAGGAAGAGACUGGACAUUCGGUGGGAAGGGCAUUACCAGGUCCUUCUAACAACCUCUACCGCAGAAAAGGUGGAAGGGAGACAUGCGUGGGUUCAUUUUCAUCCCUGUAAGAUUGUCAGUAUGGUGCCUAAAAGAUAAAACGAUUACUUCUUUCUUUUAAGAAAUCCCUUUCUAGGAUAAUUGCGAUGCAUUAUUGUUCGCCUAUCUUGGGACAUUGAUAGCCAUCAGAUCUGUGAGAAACAGAGUAUGCUGAUGUAAUGCAAUGUGAUGGCGAUGGUGGCAUUGGCAGAUUUGCAGGUGACGCAGUGCUGAGUGACUGCGAGCUGUGGGAAGGAUGCUAUGAACUGAGGGUGGCCACAGGCUACGUACCCACUGGUGGUGCGACUCAAGCGUGGAGGUUUCACCUACAGGCCCUCAGUAAUUAUUAUACACAAUUAACCCAUGCCAUGCCAGGUCUGCAUUCUAAGGUACAAGAAGUGCAGAGACCACUACCAGUUGAACACAAUGACAAGUUCAUACUGUCAGACUACAUACCGAUAAGGCAUUGGGAUGCAAGGAAUUAAAACUGUGUUGAACAUUACUGUACCAAGUGGUAUCAACAACAUCAACCGCCAAGAAGAUUGAAGAUCACUGCGUUGGAUUCAACUGAUUGACUUUAAACAGUUCGGAGAACAAAGAAAGGACAGUGGGGCUAUUGACCCUCCUUUAUAUUUUGGGAUUGGCUCAUAUGGAUUGGACGGGGAAAUAAUCUGUUUUUGUUUAUGAGUUUUGAAUUUGCCCUUCGUAAUAAUAAAUGUAUGCUGGUUGUGUACGCACAUCCCAUAUAAUGGUGGGGAAGGAAUACCUCUCAUAACAAUACUCCUUAACCUUACUGAGAUUCUGGCCUUGCACUGUCUUCGCAAUAAAACAGCAAUUAAUGGGUGCCUUCAGAAUGGCAAAGUCAAGGACCUAUAUUUAAAGAAUGUUUCGUUUAGAGAUGCAGCAUGAAAACAGGACUCACUCAGACCAGCGAUCCCUGCACACGACACUAUCCUAGAGACAAUGAACUACCUACGACCACAGAUAGAGUAUAAACCUACCAUACCAUAGACCAUGUAGCGAUGUUACAAUACCUACCUUCAGCGACGCUGCAGUUCUGCCACUGGCAGCGUGCGCGACUUUGGUGCCUUUGAGGAGGGGCAGAAUUAAAAUGCAGGCUUGUAUCGCUUGUCGGAGAGGGAUUUCCUCGGGCUGCUAGUCGAUGAAGAAAAAUCAAUCGGACUUCCGUUCCCGGUUUUUUUAAUUAAAAAAUCACUGGACAAUUUAAAAGUUUGGAUUAAAGUAAAAAGCGACUGCGAACACUCUCAACGCCUACAACGUGACGGAUCGUAAUAUCAGAAGAAAACAAAAGAUGUCUCCGACGAAGAAAUGCAAAAUAGUCAAUCCAAAUACCCAGCAAAAGAGACUGAUUUAGACAGCAUUCGCAGAGAUUAUCCAAAUUUGGACUACUCCGAAUGUGAUGAUACAGGACAUUCUUAUUGGGGAAAGUAGUGGGCAGAUAGGCAUGUCAUGCGUGGUUUGAAGAGCAAAAACUUGUGGUUCACAAUGCCAAAAUUGAAAAGUUGAGGAAAAGCAAGGUGUACAGAGUUGCUUAUUGGUUACAGUCUGAGGAAUAUGAUGAUGCUAUUGAUUAUGAUAUGCCAAUGUACCAGCUAGCAACUUCUCCAUAAAGCCUUGGUCCAUUCCUAGAAAUGGUAAUUUAUUUACCUAUCUGUUAUGGACUUACAGCAUAUAAUAUAAUAAUAUUAAAGUUCUGAUCUUGAGAAUAUCCCAUUUUUGAAUUUUCAACGCAGUCUGGGUGUUUAGGGUGAUUUCACGAAAGGUCACUGGAGAGUGACCGUGAGACACUGCUACCUAAAUUUACAGUCCAAAAGCAAGAUAGAAACUAAGGUAAAUUCAAAAGGGAGCUGAAGGUGCAUCUGACUUACUGUUGAUGAAAUGCAGUGAUCAAACGAGAUAAUUCCCAAUAUUUUCAAUUCCGAUAUCUGCACAGCCAAUGUUUACCAAGCACUUUAGCUGCUGUUGUCCCUUCAGCUCUCGCUUCUAUUUACCUACAUUUCGCUUCAUUUUUGGAAUUAUGAAGUUGGGCACAUGUCUCUCACACUUACCCCGACUUCCACAAUAUUUUUCAGAGCAAAAAUUCUCCAUUUUGGCGGUUUUUAACAGGUAGGAAAGUACGCGUUUCCUGCAUUAAUAACAUAUACUGGAAGUUACGGAUGUCCUCCAGAUGGAUUGAGCGGCUCCGUGCGUCAAGCCCUAUGACCCAGUGACCUCCUAUAGGGAACAAGAUGCUAAUUUCCGAGUAUGAAAAUGGCCAUAAGCUUUUUAAUACUGAAGAUAUGAAAGUGAAUUAGGUGUUAAAUUAAACUUCUUUUUAUGCUUUAUCAGCUGGGAUAAAUUGCAAACUUGAUUUUUUAAACCUCAAAAUGUUGUAACAUUGCUAUACCUAGGGACAAUGAACCACCUAUGACCAUAGACCAUACCAUAGAUAGAGUAUAGACCCACCAUACCAUAGACCUAGUCAUACCAUGGAGCCAAUUGACCUACAAGCAUGUACGUCUUUGGAGUGUGGGAGGAAACCCGGAGCUCGAACAUCUUUGAUACAAACUUCGUGCAGACAGCACCCGGGGUCAGGAUCGAAGCCGUGUCUCUGGCGCUGUGAGGCAGCGCCUCGACCGCUGUGCCACCGUUUACCUGGCCGCAUUACUGCAAUGACUUGAGUCAAGCCCCAUGGGGGUAGCAGGCAGUUCAUUCGCACCCACGGCCGGCAGAGCGUCGACGGUUUGGGCGGCCGGGCAGUGGUUUCACCUGGUUGCUGGGUCCCGGGCCGUGCGCGUGCCCGCGGUUGCUGGGU